rnacentral:tRNA from 1 species
UCCCUGGAGGACUAGUGGUUAGGCCUCGGCACUCUCACUGCCACGGCCCAGGUUUGAUUCCUGGCCAGGGAC